GCGGCUGUGGCGGAAUUGGCAGACGCGCUAGAUUCAGGUUCUAGUGGGAGUAUAUCCCGUGGAGGUUCGACUCCUCUCAGCCGCA
rnacentral:tRNA from 1 species